CCGUGCUAGGCGGGGAGCUGGCGGUUCCCUGUACCCCCGAUCCGCCACAGGGGGGCUGAACCCCCGCCCGAGGCGGCGCGGCUACGGGUCCGGUCCGCGGUCCCCGGUGAGGACGGCUGGGUCCUGCGCGACGGGAACCUGCGAACCCCGCCAGGUCCGGAAGGAAGCAACGGUAAGCAGACCCUCCCGGGCGCCGCAGGGGCACCUAGCCGGAGCCGGUACGCGGGGGCCGCCGCGGUCGCGGCGUCGACGGCGGGUGCACGG
rnacentral:SRP_RNA from 1 species